AAUGACUUAGCCGUUUGAGUGUGUCUGGCUGAAUAGAAAGAUGCAGCUCUAGAUCCUUGACUUCCCUGAGUAUAACCACGGUUGACGUGCUCUGAACGGGACUACCUGAAGAAAAACACAAAGGCAGUGAAUAGACUUUCAAAAUGCUGGCGACAAUGCUAACAGCCAUGUAUAUGAUGGUGAGAGUGGCUGAACAGCUGGGUGUUCGGUGGGUAUGUCAACAGGAACCUCUUCCGUAUGUGGUGUCUCAGCCUCUGCCAUGGCAGGUCCACUAUGUCUCCCACAGUCGGAAAGGAAGUCGUUCAGAGGAAUUUGAGGGCCAGAGAAGGAACAGCAUAGGCGUUUAAAGAAAGAACUCUUCUUCCAGUAAUGGACACACCAAAACUUCUGCUGACAAGGCAGCGGCUACAAUUCAGAACCAGUACAGGAAGUACCAGCAAAAUAAGCAGAAAGGCCACAAAUUAAAGCUAAACUGUUAGCUUUUGAAGUGUC